UACGUAGGGGGCAAGCGUUAUCCGGAUUUACUGGGUGUAAAGGGUGCGUAGCCGGAAAGGUAAGUCAGAUGUGAAAGCCCGAAGCUCAACUUCGGGACUGCAUUUGAAACUACCUUUCUAGAGUGUAGGAGAGGAAAGUGGAAUUCCUAGUGUAGCGGUGAAAUGCGUAGAGAUUAGGAGGAACACCAGUGGCGAAGGCGACUUUCUGGACUAUAACUGACGGUGAGGCACGAAAGCGUGGGGAGCAAACAGG
rnacentral:rRNA from 1 species